rnacentral:rRNA from 1 species
AGCAGCCGCGGUAAUUCCAGCUCCAAUAGCGUAUAUUAAAGUUGCUGCAGUUAAAAAGCUCGUAGUUGAAUUUCGGGACUAAUAUGUCGGUCGUGCCUCGGUACGUACUGGUAUUUUUGGUUUCUCCCUUCUGACGAACCUUGAUGUCAUUAAUUUGGUGUCUUGGGAAAUCAGGACUGUUACUUUGAAAAAAUUAGAGUGUUUAAAGCAGGCUCACGCUUGAAUACAUUAGCAUGGAAUAAUGAAAUAGGACGUUUGAUUCUAUUUUGUUGGUUUCUAGGAUCGACGUAAUGAUUAAUAGGGAUAGUUGGGGGCAUUAGUAUUCAAUUGUCAGAGGUGAAAUUCUUGGAUUUAUUGAAGACUAACUACUGCGAAAGCAUUUGCCAAGGAUGUUUUCAUUAAUCAAGAACGAAAGUUAGGGGAUCGAAGACGAUCAGAUACCGUCGUAGUCUUAACCAUAAACUAUGCCGACUAGGGAUCGGAUGAUGUUAAUUUUUUCAAUGACUCAUUCGGCGCCUUA